AUGCCAUGUGGUAGGCAAACCAAAUCUUGGAUGUCCCUGAUGCAGUUUGCCAUGAUUCCUAAUUCAAUAUUCCUCAAAGGCCCAGCAGACACAGGACUCGGGGGGAUGGUGAGCUCUGCCCAGUGGCACCACCAGCACAAUCCAGCAUCAGUGAAGGUGGAAAUGUCCAGGCUGCACAAGCCUGAACCACCUGCUGGGGGCAACUGAAGGACAUGAACGAAUCUUCAGGAGUUUCAGCACAGGCGGCGACGAGCCCUCAGAUAGAGCGAGGCUCUUUGGGGAAUCCAUGGGAGCUGCAGCUUGUGGAUGGAGAUGGCUUGGGGAGAAGUCCUCAUUGUCGGUCAGUGGCUUUGACCUGGCCCUGGCCUGUUCUGUGAAGGAGGAUUACGUCAGCACUCAAGGAGACACAAGUUCUACAAUAUACUCUGUUGCCUGGUUCAUGAUUCCGAACACAAAAGCCUCUUGCCUAAAACAAGGAGGAGCCUGAGAGCUUCCCUUCUCAGUACUUAGCUACUUAGUUUGAACACUAUAAUUGCGAAUAGUCAAAUCUUGAUUUAGUUGUGAUUUGUAGCCACCAUCAUUGUUCCACAUAGCUGUCAAUGACAAUUUGGAUUGUGAGGCUUGCUUGACUAACUUGGAUUCACUGUAGCAUCAUAAUGAUAAUAAUAAUAAUUUAAAAAAUAAAAAUUAAAAAAAAAUUGGUUUUUUGCCUUACUAAGUACCCAGUACUCUG
rnacentral:lncRNA from 1 species